rnacentral:rRNA from 1 species
AGAGCGAACGCUGGCGGCGUGCUUAACACAUGCAAGCCGAGUGCGCGCCUGUAGCAAUACAGGUGGCGCACGGCGCACGGGUGCGUAACACGUGGGUAAUCUGCCCUUCGAUGGGGAAUAACCUCGCGAAGGCGAGGCUAAUUCCGCAUAACAUUCCGAUGGUUCCAAUCAAUGGACUCAAAGCCGUAAGGCGUCGGAGGAGGAGCCCGCGCACGAUUAGCUAGUUGGUGAGGUAACGGCUCACCAAGGCUUUGAUCGUUAGC